rnacentral:misc_RNA from 1 species
GGUUCAGUCUUGAUCUGGCCAUCCGUCUCAUCUCCAGCCUGGGGCUUGGAAUCCGCACCCUUGAAUUCCCAUCCAUCAUUAUCCCCAUCACCAUCAUCAAAAACUUCACUAAUUUCACCAACCAAAUCCGGAUUCAUAGAAUUUAUACUUGAAUUAACACUACUGAAAUUUGAGUUCAACCCAUUAAAAUCCCGGCUCAAUUUAUUCCAACUUGAGUUGAAUCCAUUGAGAUUAGAUACUGGCCCAUUCUCAGUCUUGAUUUGGUUUGCCUCAGAAAUCUCAUCAGCCAUUGAAGUUUUGGGCUGUGCAUCCUUGAACUCCCAACCAUCUUCAUCACCAUCAUCAACUUCUCUAUUUUCAUCAACCAGACCCAUAUUUAUUGAAGUUGCACUUGAAUUAACACCAUUAACAUUCAUGUCCCACCCAUUAAGAUCCAAGCUCAAUUCAUUCAAACUUAGAUUGAAUCCAUUAAUAUUAGGUGCCGGCCCAUUCUUAGUCUUGAUUUGGUUUGCCUUAGAAAUCUCAUGAGUUUUGGGUUGUGAAUCCUUGAACUCCCACCCAUCAUCAUCAUCAUCACCAUCAUCAAACUUCCCAUUGUCAGCAACCGGAACAGAAUUAGCUCCAUUUGCGCUCAAUUUUGCCUCUUUUGUAACCGAAUUCGCCUCAUCUUUGUUUGAAUUCCUUACGUUUGUAUUCAAAUUCAAUG